rnacentral:rRNA from 1 species
UACGGAGGGCGCAAGCGUUGUUCGGAAUCACUGGGCGUAAAGCGCGUGUAGGCGGCCGGGCAAGUCGGAUGUGAAAUCCCGAGGCUCAACCUCGGAACUGCACUCGAAACUGCUCGGCUCGAGUCCCGGAGAGGAUGGCGGAAUUCCCGGUGUAGGGGUGAAAUCCGUAGAUAUCGGGAGGAACACCAGUGGCGAAGGCGGCCAUCUGGACGGUGACUGACGCUGAGACGAGAAAGCGUGGGGAGCAAACAGG